ensembl:lncRNA
GGAGUGGCAAAGUACUGGCCACUUCCAGAUCUCCUGGUCCAGACACGCCACUUUGCCAGAUGGUAUGCAGCCGCUGCAGGGAGCCGAGCACACACUCCACCUCAGCACCGCAUCACACACAGCCUGGUCAUAAUAUCUGGGAGGAGGACAGCAGCACUUCGGAGGAUCCAAAAUCCCGCGGCAGAUGAGAGAUUGAUACAGACUUCCCACCCACUGCUUCGGCACAAGGCGGAGACUGAAAAGACGGCGGAGUCUGAAAAGACGGCGAACACGCAGCAUCUCUUCCACCCAGCGCCGGAUACCCGGGGCCCACGCGGGGACGCUCGCCGUGUCCGGCUCAGCCCGUGGGCAGCCCCCGGGGGCCGCGGUGGAGACGCUCCGCGCCGCCUCUGGUGCCCACCCCUCCGCUCCGCCCGGCGCGCAAGUUGCGCGGAGCCGCAGCCGCCACCGCCGCCACCUCCCUGCGGGAGCAAAGCCGGCGGAGUUUGCCCGGCCGGCGGGUGCCUCCCCUUCCUUCCCCUCCUAGCGGGUUUUAUUUUUUUCUCUUAUCUUUUUUUUUUUUUAAUUUUCCUUUUUUUUUUUUUGGAGGGGGAGCCGUGGCUGCUGCUUUGCGCUCCGCAGCGUGGACGCGUACAGACCGGUCCUCGGGGAAACAGCUCCCGGCGCUCCCACAAAAACUCCAACCCAAACAAAACACCCACUUGGAUAAUUAAAACGGUGCUGCUGUGUGCUGACACCAGACACUGACUUUUCUGCAGUGUUGAGCUGAAAGGGAGUUAGGAAUCAGGGAGCUCCUGCAGAUAAGAGAUGAACAUUGAAGUGACUGAUCAACAGCGCUCCUCAAAGCAUUAGUAACUCCUGGGAACGGUACUGUCUGAACACUGCAUUGCUUGUUUUGAGGUGCUGUAAGCAUAAUGGUACCCCUACCUCUGCCUCUUCACAGUUACCGUUCACAGGCAGGAUCGUGUCUUCUUUCUUUGAUAUGAUUUGCUAGGUCUGGCAGAAUCACUUUGUCAUAAAUAUUUGAAAGUUUCUUCAAUUUAAUUGUGAAGGCUGCUUGUAGAGACAAAGAAGGGGCUAAAAUGGCAAUCAGCUGCAAGUCAUUUGGAAAUUUUAAUACAAUAGCAAAAAAAAAAAGAUCCUUAGGUAAGUCAGAAAUUCUGCUUUCUUAAGGAAAGAAUAGUUGGGCUUCUGCUGCUUUAGUUUUUUCCCACAAGUUUUUCUUCUAAAGCUCUUCAGUCAAACCUGCAAAUAUGCACAUCUAGGCUUCCUCCUUACAUCCUUCCUUCCCCUCCAUAGGCUCCCAAUUACCUAUUUUUUCAUCCAGACAGUAAACAAAAGGGCUAACAGAACAAACUCAGGCAGGAGGCACUCACUGCUUGCAGAGUGACUUUUCAGUACUGAGAUUCUUCUUGAGAUGCGUUAUGGACAAAAAGGGCUCAUACUGCACAUGACAUCUCUCAAAUGCUCACAGAUUUUUGUGCCAAGUGCACAUCUGAGGGUGAUAUAUCACCAUUUGAGUGUUUAAGAAGCCACAAGUGAUUAAAACUUAGACCUCUUAUAACGUACUGAUGCACAGCUGUUAGAAGUUACAGCUGAGGAUAUUGGAUUUGAAAGAGUAGCACUUUUUUUUUCUUCCCUAAUUUUCUUUAACUUAUUCAUUUGAAAAAGCCAUAUGUCCUGGGAGAUUCUGUGCCUUGACCCAAGUAUUAACCCUUCACCCAGAAACAGUGAAGAAAUCUUUGUAGCUUCAGAACGAAAGGGACACUGAUUUUAUUAACUGAAAAUAUUUUUUUACCUUUGUCUUUUAAAUGACAAUCUGUGGGUCAGGUGACCAGAAUCCAUCUGUGGGUGCCCAUUUAACCUGUGAGAUAACUGUAGAAACUGUUGGAAGUAUACUAUAGCAUCCUAAGUGAGUAAUGUUAGAUACAUAGUAAUAAUACAAUACAUUUUUUACUAUUUGAUGGGUCGUAUCUGUUGGUUUUAAUGCAUUUUUUAAUGUCACAUUUUUCCCUGCAGGAUUACUCCAUAAUUUAUGAUCACAAACAAAGGUUACAGACUCUCUAAUUCAAGCUUCAACUGUUAUGGCAUUUUUAUACAAAUGCUGAUUUACUUUGUCAUGGUGUUUAGCAAGAAGGAUCAGUCAAUGUUAUACAUUAUUCUGCAGCUAUUGUAUGAAGUGAUUCUACCAAAAACGUGUCUGCUGGUUCUAUUUUUUUUUUUUUUUUUUUGCAAACUAAUUAUACAUGUGAGGCACAACGUUGCCCUCUGCUACUACAUUAUGUUUCCAACUGCCAUAAAGUCUCCAGUUGUCAGAGUUUCAAUACAAGAACAAAAAAAAGUAUUUUUUCCAGUUGACGUUGGAUGUCCAUGGUGAGAAAGGUGGAACAAGGCAGCCACUCCUGGCAGAUGGGCAAGUCCUUCAGUACACACACCUUACAUUUUAAUUAAAAUCAGCUAAUGUUUCAGAAAAUUUUAGGAAUGUGUGUGAUAUAUACUUAAUUUUGUUACUUUCAUAAUGCUUCUUUUUAUUAAGUAAUAAUUUAGCAAUAGAAGGGAAUUGGUGGUCAUCUCCUUCACACUUUCUCCUUGUUCUGUUUUCCUUCAGUUCCUGGAGGAAGAAGAUGCUUGUGGGAAUAUAAGAAAAACCACACAGGCAGAGGCAUCCUAAGAAACAAUAAAUUACUUUUGAGUUCCCCUUGCCCA